CAGCCGUCGCCGCAGCCGCGCCAGCCUUCGCCGCAGCCCGUCUCCAACGAGCCCAAGACGUACGCCAACCUGUUCAAGGCCUCCUCCGGGCGCCCCGCGCCGCCCCGGCCCGCCGAGAAGGAGCAGUCUCCGCCCAGCCGCCCGGCGGUGCCGCGCCCGGCGCCGGCCGCCGC